rnacentral:tRNA from 2 species
GGUAAAAUGGCUGAUAAAAGCGUUAGACUGUAAAUCUAAAGAUAGAGGUGUAAGUCCUCUUUUUGCCA